GGACAGGAGGGUGCUUCCUCACUGGAAUGAUUGACCAGGUUGACUUGGCUCAUCUGGCUGUCUCAGUGGGUGUCCCCUUCCUCUGUCACCACUCCAUGUGUGCUUUGGGAUGGACUUCCCCAAAAGAUAACGGAGAUAGAGGGGGGAUCAUUUUUUUAGUCAAGGGCACAUGAGUAGCCAUGCUCCUCAGCUGUUGAUAGAACUCCAAAGGAUCAUUCAAGGUCCAUCUGUAGGAGGAUGUAGAUGGGGCUUCUAAGACUCAAGAUACAUUUAAAUGAGGUGCUGCACAUGGCAAGCUGCCUUCUU
rnacentral:snRNA from 1 species